UGGGGAAUAUUGCACAAUGGGCGCAAGCCUGAUGCAGCAACGCCGCGUGAGGGAUGACGGCCUUCGGGUUGUAAACCUCUUUUAGCAGGGAAGAAGCGAAAGUGACGGUACCUGCAGAAAAAGCACCGGCUAACUACGUGCCAGCAGCCGCGGUAAUACGUAGGGUGCAAGCGUUGUCCGGAAUUAUUGGGGCGUAAAGAGCUCGUAGGCGGUCUGUCGCGUCUGCUGUGAAAUCCCGAGGCUCAACCUCGGGCCUGCAGUGGGUACGGGCAGACUAGAGUGCGGUAGGGGAGAAUGGAACUCCUGGUGUAGCGGUGGAAUGCGCAGAUAUCAGGAAGAACACCGAUGGCGAAGGCAGUUCUCUGGGCCGUAACUGACGCUGAGGAGCGAAAGCGUGGGGAGCGAACAGGAUUAGAUACCCUGGUAGUCCACGCCGUAAACGUUGGGCGCUAGAUGUGGGGACCAUUCCACGGUUUCCGUGUCGCAGCUAACGCAUUAAGCGCCCCGCCUGGGGAGUACGGCCGCAAGGCUAAAACU
rnacentral:rRNA from 1 species